rnacentral:misc_RNA from 1 species
AAAAAAAAAAUAUGAAGCUUCUGUCAAAUCAGGAGCUUCUUCUGACGAUGUUUAUCGGCCAAAAUUGUAGUAUUAUGAUAUGAUGAACUUUCUAAAUGACCAAGAUACGCCUCGAGAAUCAACAUCAAAUUUGGACACAAAAGAUGAAAGCUAUCUGAGAUUGGCAUAGAUGAAAAUCUGGAAAAUGAAGUAGAAGGAAUCGACUCGGUAAAUUCGACAGUUGAGCGAUCAGAUAUCGUUAAUCCACCAAGGGCAGAAAAAUCUAAAAAAAACGAUGCAAAGUUAACUA